rnacentral:rRNA from 1 species
GAUCCUGGCUCAGAUUGAACGCUGGCGGCAGGCUUAACACAUGCAAGUCGAGCGGGGAAGGUUGCUUCGGUAACUAACCUAGCGGCGGACGGGUGAGUAAUGCUUAGGAAUCUGCCUAUUAGUGGGGGACAACGUUCCGAAAGGAACGCUAAUACCGCAUACGCCUACGGGGAAGCAGGGGAGUCUUCGGACCUUGCGCUAAUAGAUGAGCCUAAGUCGGAUUAGCUAGUUGGUGGGGUAAAGGCCUACCAAGGCGACGA